rnacentral:lncRNA from 1 species
CCAUUUACAUUUAGGGAUUUAAAAUAUAGUCUCUUGAUGCAAACAGUAAAUAAAUACAUUUUCCCAAGGCUCUGGUAAUAAAAUUAGGCAAUGGGGAUCAUUUCUAGCACUAAGUGUAGUGCGUGUUUUUCUUGGCUCUUUAACUAGAAACCUGCAUUUUAUUUUAAGGUCUCACAUGAAAUAGAAGCACAUGUGGUACAUGAAAUUUCUCUUGGAUGAUAUAUUAAAAGACGUAUUAAAUUGAUAGCAUCUCUUGAAGUCAAAUAAUAAAGGAGGGGGCGUUGCCAGAGGAGGCAGAUAUUUGGUCAGUGGACUGAGAGAGGAAGAUCUACACUCAAUGUGGGUGAGCACCAUCCAGUUGGCUGCCAUUGCAGCUACAACAAAGCAGGUGGAAAAAUAUCUUAUGGUGAGAACCACAGUCACUCAAUUGGAAAACUUAAAUGCGAUGGGAAUAAUUGGACCCUGAGGUGGCAGGGGCCAAGUGGCAGCACUCAACCGUCAAAGGCAAGGUAGGCAUAGUUGCAGUAAUAGACAACAGAGACAAAGCAGCAAUCAGAAUACUCUUACUCUUGUAGAGCUCUAGCAUUGGCUAAUUAAUCAUGGUGUUCCUGGAAGUGAAAUUGAUAGGAAGCCUACUAUAUUCUUACUUGAUUGGUAUGAGCAGAAAACUUCCAGGCCAAGUGAACAAAAGAUUGAUUUGAAUGAUAAAAAACAAAGAAUCACAGCCCCUCAAUCAAUUUUCAGACUUGAAUAAAUUUACAGAUCCAGAACCCCUUGAAAAAAAGGAAGGCUGAGUCACCUUGAGAAAGGACCCCACUACACUACUGAAAAUUUAUACUGUUAAUUUUUCUCUUAUCUUUACCCAGGGAGACCCCUGGGCUUUCAUCAGAGUAACUGUUCAAUGGGAAAAGAAAAAUGAUCAGACCUUUUGGGGAUUACUGGACACUGGCUCUGAGCUGACAUUGAUUCAGAGGAUCCAAAAUGUCAUUGUGGCCCUCCAGUUAGAGUAGAAGCUUGUGGAGGUCAAGUAAUUAAUGAAGUUGUAGCUCAGGCCCAACUUACAGUGGGUCCAGUGGGUCCCCAAACUUAUCCUGUGUUCAUUUCCUCAGUGCCAGAAUGCAUAAUUGAAAUAGACAUACUUAGCAGUUGACAGAAUCUCCACAUUUGUUCCCUGACCUGGGGGUUGAGGGCUAUUAUGGUGAAAAAGGGCAAAUGUGAGCUAUUAGAGCUAUCACUAUGUAGAAAAAUAGUAAAUCAAAAACAAUAUUACAUCCCUGGAGAGAUUGCAGGGAUUCUUGCACCAUCAAGGACCUGAAAGAUGCAGGGGUGGUGAUUCCCACCACAUUCCUGUGUAACUCUCAUAUAUGGCCUGUGCAGAAGAAUAAUGGACCUUAAAGAAAGACAGUGGAUUAUUAUAAGCUUAACCAAGUGGUGACUUCAAUUGCAGCUGCUGUACCAGAUGUGGUUUUAUUGUUCGAGCAAAUUAACACAUCUCCUGGUUCCUGGUAUGCAACUACUAAUUUAGCAAAUGCCUUUUUCUUCACCACUGUCGAUAAGGCCCACAAGAAGCAACUUGCCUUUAACUGGCAAGACCAGCAAUAUACUUCACUGUCCUACCUCAGGGCUAUGUCAACUUUCUGGCUCUGUGUCAUACAGUUGUUUACUGAAAUCCUGCUCACUUGUCUCUUCCACAAGAUAUCACACUGGUUUAUUACAUUGUUGAAAUUAUGCUGAUUGAAACCAGGGAGCGAGAAGUAGCAACUACUUUGGACUUACCAUUGAGAUAUUUGCAUGCCAGAAGAUGGAAAAUGAAUCUGAUAAAAAUUCAGGGACAUUCUACGACACUGAAAUUGCUAUGGGUACAAUGGAGAGGGGGCCUGUCGAGAUAUUCCUCUAAGGUGAAGAAUAAGUUGUUCCAUUUGGCUUAUUCUACAACCAAGAAAGGCACAAUGCCUAGUGGGCCUGUUUGGAUUUUGGAGGCAACACAUUCUUCAUUUGGGUGUGUUACUUCAACUCAUUUAUUGAGUGAACCAAAAGGCUGCUAAAUUUGAGUGAGGCCCGGAAGAGGGGAAGGCUCUGC